AUUGAACGCUGGCGGCAGGCCUAACACAUGCAAGUCGAACGAGUGGCGGACGGGUGAGUAAUGUCUGGGAAACUGCCUGAUGGAGGGGGAUAACUACUGGAAACGGUAGCUAAUACCGCAUACCAUCAGAUGUGCUCAGAUGGGCUUAGCUUGUUGGUGGGGUAACGGCUCACCAAGGCGACGAUCCCUAGCUGGUCUGUGAGGCUGACCAGCCACACUGGAACUGUGACACGGUCCAGACGCCUACGGGAGGAAGCCAUGGGGAAUAUUGCACAAUGGGCGCAAGCCGGAUGCAGCCAUGCCGGUUGUAUGAAGAAGACCUUCGUGUUGUAAAGUACUUUCAGCGGGGAGGCGUUACCCGGAGAAGAAGCACCGGCUAACUCCGUGCCAGCAGCCGCGGUAAUAC
rnacentral:rRNA from 1 species